AGAGAGCAUGAGAAAGAGAAACAUUAUUGCCAUACAGGUUUUCACCAGAUUUUUCGUUGUAUAGGAGAGAGAGGUUAUUGAAAUCUCUGCUUCUGCGAGCGGAGAUGAUCGUAACUGGAUAUUUCUGGGAAAGAUUCACAAGGCGGUUGGGUUUUAUUUUGAAGCUACCAAUAGAGCUGAGAUUGCUCGGAAGAGAAUUCAGGAGAUGGAGGAGAGUCGUGCAGGGAUUGUUUCUGGGAUUGAACGAGAGUCAGAAGGGAAACACCAAGUUCGUCAUGCCGUGCAGGAGAGGUCCUCUGAGGUUUACCGCUUGAGAGCUUGAGCUGACUAAGCUUGUGGUCACACGAGGCUGAAGAGAGAGCUGCUCGGGCAGUGGAAGCAUACAAGGCUUCUCCUGAGUUUCAGAGAGGGAGAGGGAGAGUUGACAGGGUACUCCAGGGAUUCCUAUCUUGAUGGAGUUGUGGAUUCUAUGAGUUUGGCUCUUGAUGAGCUUCCUGGUGCGGAUGUUGGCUUCUUCUACCAGCUGUCUCGAGGGAGAGAUCCUUGAUUCUAAUUCUGCAUACCUUGUUGAGGUCAGUUUUUUACUUGUAUAAAGACUUAUAAACCUUAUAGAGAGACAAACUUUAUCAUAUUAAUAUUUCGAAAUAAAAUAAGAUUUUAGAGUAGUUUGUGUGUUAACCCUAUUUUAGCUUGCUGCUGUCCUUGAUUGUGCUUCCCCUGCAUCACAAGGUUUGUAACGCGAAUUAGAGCCUGGAAGAAGCUUCUUUUUUGUUUUUUUUUUUUCUAAUUGAUGCUAUUCUCCAGGUUUUCUCUUGGAGGUGAGUGCUGACAGGUUUCUGCACCCAAUUGCUGUUAAGAAAUCUCAGAGCCGAGCAAAACGAAUCGCCUCUGCUUCCUAAAACAACAAUGACUUCAUUUUCUUCCCUUCCAAUCCGAACAUCAAAAUAUUGACAGAUGUUCUUUGGCAGACCCACUCGCACUUUUGGCCUUGGUUUCUUGUAUUUCUUUCUUGGCUCUCCCUUCCAUGCCAGUUCAAAUUUAUUGACCAUUUCCCCUCCAACCCAGUUCAAAGUCCUCAGUUGACUCCAAAUUAUAGAGUCGACAGAGCUCUGCUUUCCAAUCAUUAUCAGCAUUAAACCAGGAUGGAAACUCUGCCACAAUCAUCCAUGCACAAAGUGCACGUUUCAUUGCAGGCAUCUCCUUAGCAAUUUCUCCUUUCAGAGACAUACUAUUGUUUGUGGGGCCUUUCCAUUCAUGAAUCCUAAGAAUGACUUUGACAUAACGAUAACAAAAACAAGAAAAUUCAAUUUGGGACCAUUAAAAGCUCUUUGAGAAAGAACAUGGGUGUCUCUGACUGUGUGUGUGUGGCCAAGGAUCAUUGACAGCAGUGAAGCCACAAUUACAUCAUUCAGGGAAGGUAUAACUGCGGGGGGACCAGACUAGUUGGCAAAUAACACAUAACGUCUAGCUAGUUUGGAUUGAAAUUAUUGCAGUUUUGGAUGAAACUAGCUUGGAGAGAUUGAAGGCAGGUUGGAAGACUCGGUUGCACUUUCGGCCUUGGUUUCUUGUAUUUCAUUCUGGGCUCUCCCUUCCUUAUCAGGGCAUAAUAAUGUAUAAUCAGGUCCAGGAUAUAGAAAGGCCAUCUUGUGAACAAAACUAACAGCAGCCUGCAUGCAUGAUCUUUGUGAUGAUGCUUUUGACCAGGCAGAGGCAGGCAGUGUCAUCUGUGGUAUCAUAUCAGAUCAGUUUUGUCUGAUAAGCUGAAAUUUUCAAGAGUAGGAAACCAGAAAACAUCCUUUCUGCCUUUGAUUGAUUAGGGACAUGAAUUUUACUGGUUCAUGGCACA